rnacentral:rRNA from 1 species
UACGUAGGGGGCAAGCGUUGUCCGGAAUUAUUGGGCGUAAAGCGCGCGCAGGCGGUCCUUUAAGUCUGGUGUUUAAGCCCGGGGCUCAACCCCGGUUCGCAUCGGAAACUGGAAGACUUGAGUGCAGGAGAGGAAAGUGGAAUUCCACGUGUAGCGGUGAAAUGCGUAGAGAUGUGGAGGAACACCAGUGGCGAAGGCGACUUUCUGGACUGUAACUGACGCUGAGGAGCGAAAGCGUGGGGAGCGAACAGG